rnacentral:rRNA from 1 species
AGCUGGGUGUGCUUACACAUGCUAAUCGAACGGUACAGGCCGCUGGGAUCCCUUCGGGGUGACCUUGGUGCUGACGAGUGGCGGACGGGUGAGUAACGCGUAGGAAUCUGCCUGGCAGCGGGGGACAACUCCGGGAAACCGGAGCUAAUACCGCAUACGCCCUACGGGGGAAAGACGGGGAUCUUCGGACCUGUCACUGCCAGAUGAGCCUGCGUCGGAUUAGCUUGUUGGUGGGGUAACGGCCUACCAAGGCGACGAUCUGUAGCUGGUCUGAGAGGAUGACCAGUCACACUGGGACUGAGACACGGCCCAGACUCCUACGGGAGGCAGCAGUGGGGAAUAUUGGACAAUGGGCGCAAGCCUGAUCCAGCAAUGCCGCGUGUGUGAAGAAGGCCUUCGGGUUGUAAAGCACUU